rnacentral:lncRNA from 1 species
GAUGAAGCUGUUAAGUCCCUGACAAGUGUACCAGAUCAUUAUCAAGUAAUAUAAAAUGGGUAAGUCCAAGUAUCGUUUCCCAAAGGACUCCUAGGCCUUAAUUUUCAUGUAACCUAAUUUCGUAAGACUUGAGAAGAAAUUGAUUUGAAGUUUUUAAAUGCAAAACAAAAGUAAACAUGCAAAUGCAGUGAAUCAAUGGUUGUGGAAAAACUAUGGAUGCAUGGUGUUGUUGGGGUUUACAAUUUCAUGUUAUCCAUCCUCAUAUAUCUACUCUUCUUAUUUAAUUCACUUAUUUAUCAUAUUGUCAUGCAAACUUUCUUGGUCUACCCUUAACCCAAUCCCUUGGCGAAAAGAGCCUAUUACUAAUUACCGGCUUGC